GUGUCAGAUGAUAAACUGCUGCUGUGUUGUGUCUCGUUGUCUCCGCCAGGGGCCUGUGAACUCUCCCUGGACACAAACACAGUGAGCAUAGACCUCCAACUGUCUGACGACAACAGGACGGUGACAGCAGUGAACGGGAGGCAGCCAUAUCCCGAUCAUCCAGAGAGGUUUGACUACUGGUGGCAGCUGCUGUGUAGAGAUGGUCUGACUGGUCGCUGUUACUGGGAGGUCCAGAGGAGCGGGGAUGUUCGUGUAGCUGUGAGUUACAGAGGAAUCAGCAGAAGAGGAGGCAGUGAGGACUGCAGGUUAGGAGGGAAUGAUCAGUCCUGGAGUCUGUUCUGCUCUGAUGAUGGUUACUCUGUCUGGCACAAUAACAGAGAAACAUCCAGCUCCUCUCUCCUCUAUCUUU